UCGUUGUUUUCUACUGAUUCCUCUUGUUCAUGGCGUUUCCUGUUGUCGUCACUCUCUUCUAGUCUCUGCUUAUGCUCUGUAAUCAGCUGGUGGAGUUUUCUGCUCUUGGAUAUCAGAGGAAACUGAAGGGAACAUAAAAGUUGAGUUAAGUUUUGAGAAAACUCUGAAAACAGAAAAGAAGAUGAAAUCUCAAGACGUAUUAAUGAAGACCUUAUGCAGAUGAAAUGUCAUGUCGUCGACUUCGAUUUCGAUGUCACUGGGCAAGCCUGUGGUACAAAACCUGCACCGAAAGUAAGACAGAAAGAAUUUUCAGAAUGAACAAGAAACAUCUUUUUGACUAUUGAAAUGAGAAGUUCCGAGAAAAUCACAGGAAAAAAGAAGAGCAAAAUCUAUCGUUGGAAGUGGAAGCAAGAAGAUUCUUAAGACAUUGACAGAUUAUAAAAGUGGAACGAGUUUUUGAUCAAUUUGCUUCAACCUUUUUUCUUCGUAAUAAAUUUUUCUGUCUUUUGCUUCUUUAAUUUACAUAAAGAAUUGAUUGUUUAA